UCCCAGGUGGCUCAGAGGUUAAAGCAUCUGCCUCCAAUGCAGGAGACCCAGGUUCGAUCCCUGGGUUGGGAA
rnacentral:tRNA from 2 species